rnacentral:rRNA from 1 species
UAGAGUUCCCUUCUGGCUCAGAUUGAACGCUGGCGGCAGGCCUAACACAUGCAAGUCGAGCGGCAGCACAGAGGAACUUGUUCCUUGGGUGGCGAGCGGCGGACGGGUGAGUAAUGCCUGGGAAAUUGCCCGGUAGAGGGGGAUAACCAUUGGAAACGAUGGCUAAUACCGCAUAACCUCGCAAGAGCAAAGCAGGGGACCUUCGGGCCUUGCGCUACCGGAUAUGCCCAGGUGGGAUUAGCUAGUUGGUGAGGUAAGGGCUCACCAGGGCGACGAUCCCUAACUGGUCUGAGAGGAUGAUCAACCACACUGGAAACUGAAACACGGUCCACACUCCUACGGGAGGCAGCAGUGGGGAAUAUUGCACAAUGGGCGCAAGCCUGAUGCAGCCAUGCCGCGUGUAUGAAGAAGGCCUUCGGGUUGUAAAGUACUUUCAGUAGGGAGGAAGGUGGUUAAGUUAAUACCUUAAUCAUUUGACGUUACCUACAGAAGAAGCACCGGCUAACUCCGUGCCAGCAGCCGCGGUAAUACGGAGGGUGCAAGCGUUAAUCGGAAUUACUGGGCGUAAAGCGCAUGCAGGUGGUUUGUUAAGUCAGAUGUGAAAGCCCUGGGCUCAACCUAGGAAUCGCAUUUGAAACUGACAAGCUAGAGUACUGUAGAGGGGGGUAGAAUUUCAGGUGUAGCGGUGAAAUGCGUAGAGAUAUGAAGGAAUACCGGUGGCGAAGGCGGCCCCCUGGACAGAUACUGACACUCAGAUGCGAAAGCGUGGGGAGCAAACAGGACUAGAUACCCUGGUAGUCCACGCCGUAAACG